rnacentral:snRNA from 1 species
AUCGCUUCUCGGCCUUUUGGCUAGAUCAAGUGUAGUAUCUGUUCUUAUCAGUUUAAUAUCUGAUACGUCCCCUACCCGGGGACCAUAUAUUAAAUUGAUUUUGGACUUGGUGAGAUGGAACAGGGGCUUGCUCCGUCCACUCCACGCAUCGACCCGGUAUUGCAGUACCUCCGGGAACGGUGCACCCUCC